rnacentral:rRNA from 1 species
UACGGUAGGGCGCAAGCGUUAUCCGGAAUUAUUGGGCGUAAAGAGCUCGUAGGCGGUUUGUCGCGUCUGCCUUGAAAGUCCGGGGCUCAACUCCGGAUCUGCGGUGGGUACGGGCAGACUAGAGUGAUGUAGGGGAGACUGGAAUUCCUGGUGUAGCGGUGAAAUGCGCAGAUAUCAGGAAGAACACCCGUGGCGAAGGCGGUUCUCUGGGACGGUACUGACGCUGAGACGCGAAAGCGUGGGAGCGA